UCAGGGUAUGGCUGAGCUAGUUAAGCAUCUCACUUACACCGAGAAGAUAUCCAUGCAAAUUGGAUUGCCCUGA
rnacentral:tRNA from 1 species